UCUUAAAAAUUUAAUCUAUUUGUACUGUUUAAAAUUAGCAUGGUUGACAGAAUAACUAGAUCGUGAUACAUGAUGUGCCACAUGUACAUUAUGUAGAUGUACAAGUCUAGUUUCUAACAGUAGAAACGGAUGAAAUUUUUAACA
rfam:Gossypium raimondii Chr08_contig_757, whole genome shotgun sequence.